rnacentral:ncRNA from 2 species
CUGUAUCCAAGAUGCUGAAGUACAUCGACCUAAACUAGUUUUUAGCAUGGUUAAUGUACCGUGGGUGACCACCGGGUAAAUAAAGAAAUUUGUUUGCCUCCCGACUUGGAAAGGCUGUGAUGUUGCAAGAUA